AGUCUCAUGAUCUUCCGUUGCUUGAGGAGCUUCGAGUUCUUGAGGGUGGAUUACUGAUUGCCAUUGAACUUGGUACUUGUAUUCUUCAAGUUCUCACUAUUGAAUCGUUCUUACAAUUGAAUCUCACAUUGUGCGUGGGCUCAUUGGAAAUCUUACUGACAGAAAGACGAAUUGGAUGCUCUUAUCCAGCUUCCUCUCGGGCUUCUAAUUCUUUGCAUCCUCUGGAUUUUUUUUUCAAGAUUUUCAGCAUUGCCUUCCGUUUUGGCUGCCACGAGGAAUUUCGAUCUUGCAGAUUUGUUUUAUUUUUGUCUCGCAUAUAUAUUCAUCUUUAUUCGUCUUCUAGGGUUAACCCUUUUGAAUAAGAGAGAUUGUAUGUGCUCGCCGCUGGAGUUUCUGUUCAACCUUCUGCAAGUUCAUGCAAUUCUUGGUUGUUCAAUGAACGUUAAUUAUUACUGUUGAGUGAUACAACAAUUGGUAAAAAAAAACUCCUCCUUAAGUGAACAUAUGUUUGAAGGUUGUAUCAAACAUGAGAUAAAAGAAGAAAUGCAUAGCUUCGAGUUACAAGGACUGUGA